rnacentral:lncRNA from 1 species
UGAAUGGCCCUCCUGGGAGUCGCCACCGGCCGUGAGGAAGAGAAUUAAUUCUUCUUGCACCAGGCAGGAUUCCCUCCAGCAGUCUGUUACCCAAGAGUCCCGCAUGGAGACUAACUGGCAGACCCACAGGUUCACUUGUCCCGGCUUGCAGGACAUGUAGCUCCACAGGGCCAGUUUCGUCUCACUGAGUCCUGGGUCUGAGGAUGAAGCCCUGCUGUGGACCUUCUGAUGAACAUAAGUGCAUCCUAACCACAACCAGUCAAGAACCCUUCCUGGAUUCUGCCAGCUCUGUGGUCCCUGAUGAAGAUGUAGCUCUCAGCCCUGAUGAUGCAGCUCCCGUGCCCUGCCCGCCCGCCUGCCACUCUACUCCCUGCUAUAUUGUUCAUGGACUUACCCUCUGAAACUAUAGCCAAUCCUCCAAUUAAAUGUUUUCUUCUUU